rnacentral:rRNA from 1 species
GACGAACGCUGGCGGCGUGCUUAACACAUGCAAGUCGAACGGAAAGGCCCUGCCUUUGUGGGGUGCUCGAGUGGCGAACGGGUGAGUAACAUGUGAGUAACCUGCCCUUGACUUUGGGAUAACUUCAGGAAACUGGGGCUAAUACCGGAUAGGAGCUUCUGCUGCUUUGUGGGGGUUGGACAGUUUCGGCGGUUGGGGAUGGACUCGCGGGUUUUGAGGUUGUUGGUGGGGUAGUGGCUUACCAAGGCUUUGACGGGUAGCCGGCCUGAGAGGGUGACCGGCCACAUUGGGACUGAGAUACGGCCCAGACGCCUACGGGAGGCAGCAGUGGGGAAUAGUGCACAGUGGGCGGAAGCCUGAUGCAGCAACGCCGCGUGCGGGAUGACGGCCUUCGGGUUGUAAACCGCUUUCGCCUGGUACGAAGCGUGAGUGACGGUAAUGGGUAAAGAAGCACCGGCUAACUACGUG